ACGAAAACAGAACUUGGCUCACGGAAGCAGUGUGCAUCUAGGAUUCAUCAUAUAAAAAUGGCGAAAUUAGAAAACAAGAUUUCUCUGAACGAAGAAAUGAAGGCUAGUAUCUUGGCUCUAGUUCAAAAGAGAGGACCUACGAAAACAUGUUGUCCAAGUGAGGUUGCUAGAAAACUGUCACCAAAUAAUUGGAGAGGUUUAAUGGAAUUUGUUCGAGAUGCUGCUAGAGAACUUCAACAGAAUGAAUUAAUUGAUAUUUGCCAAAAGGGUAUCCCAGUUCCUUCAAAUACUUGGACCGGACCAAUACGACUGAGGCUUAGAACAAAAGCUGGAAUCAUUUUACCAAAUUUAAAGCCAGGCAUAAGUGAGCUUAGUGGACGUGGUCGAGAUGGAGAUGGUCAGCCUUCACAAAAGGACAUUCAAUCCAGUCAAGCGACAUGUUCUGUAGAAUAUAGGGUUGAUAAAGAAUGUCAGACCAGAAAUUCUCCACAUGCAAUAAAUAGAAAACGAAAAUAUAACAUACGGUCAAAAAUAUCUGACAAAUAAAAAAUAAUAUAUUUG